rnacentral:rRNA from 1 species
UACGUAGGGUGCAAGCGUUGUCCGGAAUUAUUGGGCGUAAAGAGCUCGUAGGCGGUUUGUCGCGUCUGCUGUGAAAUCUUGGGGCUUAACCCUGAGCUUGCAGUGGGUACGGGCAGACUAGAGUGCGGUAGGGGAGACUGGAAUUCCUGGUGUAGCGGUGAAAUGCGCAGAUAUCAGGAGGAACACCGGUGGCGAAGGCGGGUCUCUGGACAGUUCCUGACACUGAGGCACGAAGGCCAGGGGAGCAAACGGG